AUUCGUUGUUGCUAUAGUGUUAAGUCACGUAAAACUUUGUAGCAGUUUAGUAUUUGGUGUAAAUGAAUAAGGAUUUAAAGAUUAAAAAUGAGUUUUGAAGAGUUCUUUAAAGAUAUUGAUUGUCUAACUGUGGCUUUGAGAGAGAAAUACCCUAACGACUCUGAUGUGCAGAAAUGGAAUGAAAUAUACUGCAAAAGAUACUAUGAUCUUCUCAUUCAACAUAUUUGGAAUCCAGACGAAUUUCAAAUACUUCAAGAAGAGAACACUAGAUUAAAACAAGAAUUACAGACUUUAAAACAAAGUACUUCUAAAACAAUGACGUCGUCCGUAUCAAAACAAACGAAAUAUGAUAAAAUUAGAAAAAAUAUUCAACAAUCAUAUUCAGAAGAAAGAAGGUUAACUUGCGACUGUGAUUACUCUGAAGAACCAACGAUUGAUUUAUGUAUUAAAGCUUU